UACGGAGGGUGCAAGCGUUGUCCGGAUUUAUUGGGUUUAAAGGGUGCGUAGGCGGGAGAUUAAGUCAGAGGUGAAAGACUGCAGCUCAACUGUAGAAGUGCCUUUGAUACUGGCUAUCUUGAGUGUGGGAGAGGUUAGCGGAACUCCGAGUGUAGAGGUGAAAUUCGUAGAUAUUCGGAAGAACACCAGUGGCGAAGGCGGCUGACUGGCCCAUUACUGACGCUGAGGCUCGAAAGCGUGGGGAGCAAACCGG
rnacentral:rRNA from 1 species